CCAGAGAACUUUCCAGAGGAUGGAUUGGUGCCUUCGGGAACUCUGAGACAGGUGCUGCAUGGCUGUCGUCAGCUCGUGUUGUGAAAUGUUGGGUUAAGUCCCGCAACGAGCGCGACCCUUAUCCUUUGUUGCCAGCGGUUAGGCCGGGAACUCAAAGGAGACUGCCAGUGAUAAACUGGAGGAAGGUGGGGAUGACGUCAAGUCAUCAUGGCCCUUACGAGUAGGGCUACACACGUGCUACAAUGGCGCAUACAAAGAGAAGCGACCUCGCGAGAGCAAGCGGACCUCAUAAAGUGCGUCGUAGUCCGGAUUGGAGUCUGCAACUCGACUCCAUGAAGUCGGAAUCGCUAGUAAUCGUGGAUCAGAAUGCCACGGUGAAUACGUUCCCGGGCCUUGUACACACCGCCCGUCACACCAUGGGAGUGGGUUGCAAAAGAAGUAGGUAGCUUAACCUUCGGGAGGGCGCUUACCACUUUGUGAUUCAUGACUGGGGUGAAGUCGUAACAAGGUAAGCGUAGUGCU
rnacentral:rRNA from 1 species